rnacentral:lncRNA from 1 species
CUGGAAGUGACCACACCUGAUUACCGUAUUAAUGUGCUGCAGAGCUCACUCUGUCAUGCCCAGUGAUCGCAGCUCACCUGAAAGAGUCAGUGUCUGUGUGAUGUUCACAUACAACAUGGAUGCUGGAAAGUGAAGUCAUACUGACUUCAAUGAAACUAAAAUCAUUCGAAGUGAAAUAAAAGAAGUCCCUAUAAUUGUCCUUUCCCUGGUUCUCUCCUAAUAAUUUUUUUUCACUUUUCAGUAAACCAUGGUGUUUGUAGGAAAUUGUGUACCUAAAACACUUAACGUUUGAGGGAAGUAUAACGGAGCUCUUCCACAGGAGCCCCUGUUUUUACAGAUAGUGCUACAGAAAUAAAGAUGAUUAUAGCGUAAAGAGGGCAUUCAAAUGUCAGUAACUUUCACUUCAAGGAUCUAAAUAGAUAAGAUGAGACAUUUAAAAACAAAAACAUUUUUAGGUGAGUAAAUCUUUAGUUGAAUAAAAAUACUAUCCCAAUUACAGCUUAUCAGAGAAAUAUAAUUUUCAAAUUUGUCAACUAGCUGGAACUGACCUAACAAAAUAGUCUGUAAGAAUAUAGUUUGGUUACUUUUCAACAAUGGCUGAAAAAGAUUUGAUCUCCAUCUAUUUGGUCAGUUAAUUAAACAAGUGUUUAAAAACUAAGAAUAUCUAAAAGUUACCUGAACAUAUCUCUAGG